UGGGGAAUAUUGGACAAUGGGCGAAAGCCUGAUCCAGCCAUGCCGCGUGUGUGAAGAAGGCCUUUUGGUUGUAAAGCACUUUAAGUGGGGAGGAAAAGCUUAUGGUUAAUACCCAUAAGCCCUGACGUUACCCACAGAAUAAGCACCGGCUAACUCUGUGCCAGCAGCCGCGGUAAUACAGAGGGUGCAAGCGUUAAUCGGAAUUACUGGGCGUAAAGCGCGCGUAGGUGGUUAUUUAAGUCAGAUGUGAAAGCCCCGGGCUUAACCUGGGAACUGCAUCUGAUACUGGAUAACUAAAGUAGGUGAGAGGGGAGUAGAAUUCCAGGUGUAGCGGUGAAAUGCGUAGAGAUCUGGAGGAAUACCGAUGGCGAAGGCAGCUCCCUGGCAUCAUACUGACACUGAGGUGCGAAAGCGUGGGUAGCAAACAGGAUUAGAUACCCUGGUAGUCCACGCCGUAAAACGAUGUCUACCAGUCGUUGGGUCUUUUAAAGACUUAGUGACGCAGUUAACCGCAAUUAAGUAGACCGCCUGGGGAGUACGGCCCGCAAGGUU
rnacentral:rRNA from 1 species